rnacentral:rRNA from 1 species
GAUGAACGCUGGCGGCGUGCUUAACACAUGCAAGUCGAACGGAAAGGCCUCAGCUUGCUGGGGUACUCGAGUGGCGAACGGGUGAGUAACACGUGGGUGAUCUGCCCUGCACUUUGGGAUAAGCCCGGGAAACUGGGUCUAAUACCGAAUAUGACCACUUCUUGGGUGUUGUGGGGGAAAGCUUUUGCGGUGUGGGCUGGGCCUGCGGCCUAGCAGCUUGUUGGUGGGGUAAUGGCCUACCAAGGCGGCGACGGGUAUCCGGCCUGAGAGGGUGUACGGACACAUUGGGACUGAGAUACGGCCCAGACUCCUACGGGAGGCAGCAGUGGGGAAUAUUGCACAAUGGGCGCAAGCCUGAUGCAGCGACGCCGCGUGGGGGAUGAAGGCCUUCGGGUUGUAAACUCCUUUCGCUAUCGACGAAGCCACUUGUGGUGACGGUAGGUAGAUAAGAAGCACCGGCUAACUACGUGCCAGCCGCCGCCGUAA